AUUGAACGCUGGCGGCAGGCCUAACACAUGCAAGUCGAACGGUAACAGGAAGAAGCUUGCUUCUUUGCUGACGAGUGGCGGACGGGUGAGUAAUGUCUGGGAAACUGCUUGAUGGAGGGGGAUAACUACUGGAAACGGUAGCUAAUACCGCAUAACGUCGCAAGCCCAAAGAGGGGGACCUUCGGGCCUCUUGCCAUCGGAUGUGCCCAGAUGGGAUUCGCUAGUAGGUGGGGUAACGGCUCACCUAGGCGACGAUCCCUAGCUGGUCUGAGAGGAUGACCAGCCACACUGGAACUGAGACACGGUCCAGACUCCUACGGGAGGCAGCAGUGGGGAAUAUUGCACAAUGGGCGCAAGCCUGAUGCAGCCAUGCCGCGUGUAUGAAGAAGGCCUUCGGGUUGUAAAGUACUUUCAGCGGGGAGGAAGGGAGUAAAGUUAAUACCUUUGCUCAUUGACGUUACCCGCAGAAGAAGCACCGGCUAACUCCGUG
rnacentral:rRNA from 1 species